rnacentral:rRNA from 1 species
AUAGUUGGAUCCUGGACUCAUGAUAAACGCUGGCGGCGCACAUAAGACAUGCAAGUCGAACGGACCAGAGCUUUAGUUUACUAUAGUAGAGGUUAGUGGCGGACUGGUGAGUAACACGUAAGCAACCUGCCUAUCAGAGGGGAACAACAGUUACAAAUGACUGCUAAUACCGCAUAUGCCAUAACCACCACAUGGUGAUAGUGGGAAAGGAGCAAUCCGCUGAUAGAUGGGCUUGCGUCUGAUUAGAUAGUCGGUGGGGUAACGGCCUACCAAGUCGACGAUCAGUAGCCGGACUGAGAGGUUGAACGGCCACAUUGGGACUGAAAUACGGCCCAGACUCCUACGGGAGGCAUCAGUCGGGAAUAUAGCGCAAUGGAGGAAACUCUGACGCAGUGACGCCGCGUGCAUGAAGAAGGUCUUCGGAUUGUAAACUGCUUUACACAGGGAACAUACGAGACAGUACCUGUACAAUAAGCUCCGGCUAACUACGUGCCAGCAGCCGCGGUAAUACGUAGGGAGCGAGCGUGAUCCGGAUAUAUUGGGUGUAGAGGGUGCGUACACAGGAAAAUAAGUCAUUUGUGACAUCCCUCAGCUUAACUGAAGAACUGCCAGUAAGACUGUCUCACUUGAGUACUGCAGAAUAAAGUGGAUUCAUAGUGUAGCGGUGAAAUGCGUAGAUACUACGAGGAACACCAGUGGCGAAGGCGACUUUCUGGACAGAAACUGACGUUGAGGCACGAAAGUGUGGGGAGCAUACAGGAUUAGAUACCCUGGUAGUCCACACCGUAAACGAUGGAUACUAGGUGUAGGAUGUGAUAAACAUUCUGUGCCGUCGCAAACGCAAUAAGUAUCCCACCUGGGGAGUACGGCCGCAAGGUUGAAACUCAAAGGAAUUGACGGGGGCCCGCACAAGCAGUGGAGUAUGUGGUUUAAUUCGACGCAACGCGAAGAACCUUACCAGGGCUUGACAUAUACAGGAAUAAUUAAGAGAUUAAUUAGCUCUUCGGAGUCUGUAUACAGGUGGUGCAUGGUUGUCGUCAGCUCGUGUCGUGAGAUGUUGGGUUAAGUCCCGCAACGAGCGCAACCCCUGUCCUUAGUUGCUAACAGUAAGAUGAGAACUCUAAGGAGACUGCCGGUGAUAAAUCGGAGGAAGGUGGGGACGACGUCAAAUCAUCAUGCCCUUUAUGUCCUGGGCUACACACGUACUACAAUGGCUACAACAAAGAGAAGCAAAAUAGUGAUAUGGAGCAAAACUCCAAAAGUAGUCUCAGUUCGGAUUGUAGACUGAAAUUCGUCUACAUGAAGCCGGAAUUGCUAGUAAUGGCAGGUCAGCAUACUGCCGUGAAUACGUUCCGCGGGCCUUGACACACCGCCCGUCAA